rnacentral:rRNA from 1 species
GAGGAUGCGAGCGUUAUCCGGAUUUAUUGGGUUUAAAGGGUGCGUAGGCGGACUUUUAAGUCAGCGGUAAAAUUGAGAGGCUCAACCUCUUCCCGCCGUUGAAACUGGGAGUCUUGAGUGGGCGAGAAGUAUGCGGAAUGCGUGGUGUAGCGGUGAAAUGCAUAGAUAUCACGCAGAACUCCGAUUGCGAAGGCAGCAUACCGGCGCCCAACUGACGCUGAAGCACGAAAGCUUGGGUAUCGAA